GACAAGGGCGGGGGGGCCUAAUACAUGCCAAGGUCGAGCGAACAGACGAGGAGCUUGCUCCUUUGACGUUAGCGGCGGACGGGUGAGUAACACGUGGGUAACCUACCUAUAAGACUGGGAUAACUUCGGGAAACCGGAGCUAAUACCGGAUAAUAUUUCGAACCGCAUGGUUCGAUAGUGAAAGAUGGCUUUGCUAUCACUUAUAGAUGGACCUGCGCCGUAUUAGCUAGUUGGUAAGGUAACGGCUUACCAAGGCAACGAUACGUAGCCGACCUGAGAGGGUGAUCGGCCACACUGGAACUGAGAAACGGUCCAGACUCUACGGAGGCAGCAGUAGGAUCUCGCAAUGGGCGAAGCCUGACGGAGCAACGCCGCGUGAGUGAUGAAGUCUUCGGAUCGUAAAACUCUGUUAUUAGGGAAGAACAAACGUGUAAGUAACUGUGCACGUCUGACGGUACUAAUCAGAAAGCACGGCUAACUACGUGCCAGCAGCCGCGGUAAUACGUAGGUGGCAAGCGUUAUCCGGAAUUAUUGGGCGUAAAGCGCGCGUAGGCGGUUUUUUAAGUCUGAUGUGAAAGCCCACGGCUCAACCGUGGAGGGUCAUUGGAAACUGGAAAACUUGAGUGCAGAAGAGGAAAGUGGAAUUCCAUGUGUAGCGGUGAAAUGCGCAGAGAUAUGGAGGAACACCAGUGGCGAAGGCGACUUUCUGGUCUGUAACUGACGCUGAUGUGCGAAAGCGUGGGGAUCAAACAGGAUUAGAUACCCUGGUAGUCCACGCCGUAAACGAUGAGUGCUAAGUGUUAGGGGGUUUCCGCCCCUUAGUGCUGCAGCUAACGCAUUAAGCACUCCGCCUGGGGAGUACGACCGCAGGUUGAAACUCAAAGGAAUUGACGGGGACCCGCACAAGCGGUGGAGCAUGUGGUUUAAUUCGAAGCAACGCGAAGAACCUUACAAAUCUUGACAUCCUUUGACCCUUCUAGAGAUAGAAGUUUCCCCUUGGGGGACAAAGUGACAGGUGGUGCAUGGUUGUCGUCAGCUCGUGUCGUGAGAUGUUGGGUUAAGUCCCGCAACGAGCGCAACCCUUAAGCUUAGUUGCCAUCAUUAGUUGGGCACUCUAAGUUGACUGCCGGUGACAAACCGGAGGAAGGUGGGGAUGACGUCAAAUCAUCAUGCCCCUUAUGAUUUGGGCUACACACGUGCUACAAUGGACAAUACAAAGGGCAGCGAAACCGCGAGGUCAAGCAAAUCCCAUAAAGUUGUUCUCAGUUCGGAUUGUAGUCUGCAACUCGACUACAUGAAGCUGGAAUCGCUAGUAAUCGUAGAUCAGCAUGCUACGGUGAAUACGUUCCCGGGUCUUGUACACACCGCCCGUCACACCACGAGAGUUUGUAACACCCGAAGCCGGUGGAGUAACCAUUUGGAGCUAGCCGUCGAAGGUGGGACAAAUGAUUGGGGUGAAGUCGUAACAAGGAGCCUUUGU
rnacentral:rRNA from 1 species